CUGACACACAGCCUGUUUAAAAUGAUCAAAUUGGUGAAAAAAAGCAGAACUUGUGACUUUUGUUUGGUUGUGUGUGCAUGCAGUGGUUUAUGUGAACAUUUAGUGGUUUCGUGCCCACUGCAGGCUCAGAAGAUAACAGUCUGCAGUAGAGUCUUGACGUGCUGACUUCUCUGUCUCUCAAAAACAUUUGAUUCAUAAAAAUAAAACACAAGAGCUUCUCCACACAAAUGGGGACCACUUGGUUUGCAAUUUGGAGUGUUUGGAUCUUCUUGCGGCAGACUGCAGCUGCAGAGGAAUCACCAUCUCAGCCUGGAUUUGAGUCAGAGAUGUUAAUAUUAAAAGUGAGCAAAAAAGCCUUGGAAACUGGCACAGACAAUCAUCAUAUUGGAGACAGUGAUCCAGCUGGUCCUCAGAUCCCCGUCCUGGAUUUCACUAAAUCCAGUCCAGGACUGAAGAGGAGGAAGAGAGACUGGGUUAUCCCUCCCUUGAACAUUCCUGAGAAUCAU